AUGCUUCCCCUUUCCAUUUGUGUGAGACAUGGAUACUACUUCAAGCGCGGACCUUGUGCAUACUCAGGUACACCCGAGGAGACCAUGGAGAGCCCAAGGACCAAGGCCAAGUGUGCGCGGGAGCGAAGGAAGGAGAAGGAAGAAGAGUCUGCUGCUGCAGCAGCCGGACAUCCGACCAUGUCUCGGACAUCCGGCCAGGCCCAGACAUCCGGCGCAACGCCCGGGAAUCCGACUCCCUUCUAUCCAGAGAGCACCAGAGUCGGCCAAGUCAGCCCGGACAUCCGGCCCCCAGGCCCGGACAUCCGGCACGUCGCGAGCUGCCGGACAUCCGGCCUAGCGCCCGGAAAUGCGGCGCCCCAUCACAGAAGCUGGACCCUGCUAGCCCGGACAUCCGGCCCCAGCGCCCGGACAUCCGGCAUCUCAUGA
rnacentral:rRNA from 1 species